UUGGAGGGCAAGUCUGGUGCCAGCAGCCGCGGUAAUUCCAGCUCCAAUAGCGUAUAUUAAAGUUGUUGCAGUUAAAAAGCUCGUAGUUGAAUUUCGGGGUCAGUAGAUUGGUCAUGCCACUGGUAUGUACUGGUCUCACUGAUUCCUCCUUCCUGAUGAGCCGUAAUGCCAUUAAUUUGGUGUUGCGAGGAAUCUGGACUGUUACUUUGAAAAAAUUAGAGUGUUUAAAGCAGGCUAACGCUUGAAUACAUUAGCAUGGAAUAAUGAAAUAGGACGUUCGAUCUUAUUUUGUUGGUUUCUAAGAUUGACGUAAUGAUUAAUAGGGAUAGUUGGGGGCAUUAGUAUUCAAUUGUCAGAGGUGAAAUUCUUGGAUUUAUUGAAGACUAACUACUGCGAAAGCAUUUGCCAAGGAUGUUUUCAUUAAUCAAGAACGAAAGUUAGGGGAUCGAAGACGAUCAGAUACCGUCGUAGUCUUAACCAUAAACUAUGCCGACUAGGGAUCGGAUGAUGUUAAUUUUUUAAUNAUUCAUUCGGCACCUUACGGGAAUC
rnacentral:rRNA from 1 species